rnacentral:ribozyme from 13 species
UUUCGUCUUUUUCGUCUUUUUCUCUUUCUCUCUUUUGUUUUUUUUGUUUGUGUGAGUCUUGAAAAAUGGGGAAAAAAUCUUUGAAGG